CGUGAGGUCGGAGUUCAGUCUUCCCAGGCCCACCACUUUCAUCGAGUGAGCAUUCGUCUUCUGGUUACGGGGCCAUAGCUCAGCUGGGAGAGCGCGUGCUUUGCAAGCAUGAGGUCGUCGGUUCGAUCCCGUCUGGCUCCACCAGAUGGUUUGAUCGCCGAGAUCUUGCACCGUCGUCCGCGAAACAUCGCUUCGCAUCCUGCUAGUCUGGAUAGACAGCAAGAUGCGUGUUUUCUGACAUCGUAAAGAGGAGAUCGAUCCGAGUUGGGUCGUGCAGCAGAUUGUUGCGCGAAUCCUUCAUUAUCUCCGGAUCAUUUUCGGCGCUCGCUUUCAGCCGUGAGGUUGAAUGCGAGUUGUAAAAUGAUCCUUUUAGCGAAGCUUGACCGCCUCGCUAUCGGAACGAUCUUACGAAGCAAGCUGGUCUUUCUAGUCAAUGUCCGGCUGCAGAUAGCGUUCGUCGAGGGCGCGUGCCGCAAGGCAAUUCUGCAGACAACAUUCUGCCGAGUGUGUGGACAUUGAUAAUGAGAGCAAUCAAGUGCCUUAAGGGUGUUCGGUGGAUGCCUUGGCGCUGAGAGGCGAUGAAGGACGUGCUACGCUGCGAUAAGCCGUGGGGAGCUGCGAAGAAGCUUUGAUCCGCGGAUUUCCGAAUGGGGAAAA
rnacentral:misc_RNA from 1 species